rnacentral:rRNA from 1 species
GUGCUUGCACAGAAUGAUUAGUGGCGAACGGGUGAGUAACACGUGAGUAACCUGCCCUUGACUUCGGGAUAAGCCUGGGAAACCGGGUCUAAUACCGGAUACGACCUCCUGGCGCAUGCCAUGGGGGUGGAAAGCUUUAUUGCGGUUUUGGAUGGACUCGCGGCCUAUCAGCUUGUUGGUUGGGGUAAUGGCCCACCAAGGCGACGACGGGUAGCCGGCCUGAGAGGGUGACCGGCCACACUGGGACUGAGACACGGCCCAGACUCCUACGGGAGGCAGCAGUGGGGAAUAUUGCACAAUGGGCGAAAGCCUGAUGCAGCGACGCCGCGUGAGGGAUGACGGCCUUCGGGUUGUAAACCUCUUUCAGCAGGGAAGAAGCGAAAGUGACGGUACCUGCAGAAGAA